AGGGGAGAAGCUUAUAGCCCAAGCAAUUAGCUGUUACCUAAUAUACAGUGAUCAAUUCACCUGCCCUA
rnacentral:tRNA from 1 species